UGAUGGAUUCAGUAGCAGCAGCUGCAUCAUCAUCGCCUUGUAAAGAGGUGAAGGUAUCGGAAUGUUUUGGAGAAAAUAGUGUUUUUCCACCUGGGUUUAGGUUUCAUCCGACAGAUGAGGAGCUUGUUCUGUACUACUUGAAGAGGAAGAUCUGUAGGCGCCGGAUUUUGCUUGAUGCGAUUGGAGAGACGGAUGUGUACAAGUGGGAGCCAGAGGAUUUGCCUGAUUUGUCCAAGUUAAAAACUGGGGACAGGCAGUGGUUCUUCUUUAGUCCCAGAGAUCGAAAAUAUCCCAAUGGAGCACGGUCAAACAGGGCAUCAAAGCACGGGUAUUGGAAAGCUACUGGAAAAGAUCGUAUUAUUACAUGCAACUCUCGUGCUGUUGGAGUCAAGAAGACGCUGGUCUUUUAUAAAGGGCGAGCGCCAGUAGGUGAACGGACAGAUUGGGUGAUGCAUGAGUACACCAUGGAUGAAGAAGAGCUGAAGAGAUGCCAGAAUGUGCAGGACUACUAUGCACUUUACAAGGUCUUCAAGAAGAGUGGGCCUGGCCCCAAGAAUGGUGAGCAAUAUGGUGCACCUUUUAGAGAAGAG
rnacentral:misc_RNA from 1 species